rnacentral:piRNA from 1 species
UGCAACAGCGAAUGUGAGGGC